rnacentral:rRNA from 1 species
CAGGACGAACGCUGGCGGCGUGCCUAACACAUGCAAGUCGAACGAAGUAUAUUUUCGGAAUGUACUUAGUGGCGGACGGGUGAGUAACGCGUGAACAAUCUGCCCUAUACAAAGGAAUAGCCUCGGGAAACUGGGAUUAAAACCGUAUGACACUUUUAAGUCGCAUGACAUAGAAGCCAAAUUGAAUAAGAGGUAUAGGAUGAGUUCGCGUCUGAUUAGCUAGUUGGUGGGGUAAAGGCCUACCAAGGCGACGAUCAGUAGCCGGCCUGAGAGGGUGAACGGCCACACUGGAACUGAGACACGGUCCAGACUCCUACGGGAGGCAGCAGUGGGGAAUAUUGCACAAUGGAGGAAACUCUGAUGCAGCGACGCCGCGUGAGUGAAGAAGGUCUUCGGAUACGUAAAACUCUGUCCUUGGUGAAGAAGAAAAUGACGGUAGCCAAGGAGGAACGCCCCGGCUAACUACGUGCCAGCCGCCGC